rnacentral:rRNA from 1 species
CAGCACCUCAAGUGGUCAGGAUGAUUAUUGGGCCUAAAGCAUCCGUAGCCGGCGCUGUAAGUUUUCGGUUAAAUCUGUACGCUCAACGUACAGGCUGCCGGGAAUACUGCAGCGCUAGGGAGUGGGAGAGGUAGACGGUACUCGGUAGGAAGGGGUAAAAUCCUUUGAUCUAUUGAUGACCACCUGUGGCGAAGGCGGUCUACCAGAACAUGUCCGACGGUGAGGGAUGAAAGCUGGGGGAGCAAACCGGAUUAGAGACCCGAGUAGUCC